GAUUUUAGAUUCCUACCAAAGGCCAAAUAAAUAAAUAAAUAAAUCUUCGUCGCGGUACCGUUCUUCGCUCUCUCGUUCCCAUCUGUCACCUACCCCCCGACGCAUCCUUGGACCUAAGGGAACAUGCUCUCCUCUCUUAAUCUCUUUUUUUUUCCUAUUAUUUCUAAUUUUCCUUCUUAAACCCUAAAUUCUCGAAAUAAUAGGGCCUUAUCUCCCGAUUCCGCGUCUAUACUUUGGAAAUUUCUGCUAUUUUGAGAUCUAAUUCCGAUCCAAUAUCGGGGAGGUAGACAGGGAGCAUUAAUGGAUGGGACUCCCAACAACAUCCAAAAUGACAAUAAAGGAGAGAAAUUGAAGGAAUGUAACAAGAAGGAGGAGGAGGUGAAGGAGAUGGCACCAGGUUCGUCGGCUCCGAUUCAUCGAUCAAGCUCACGGCUGCAGCUUGAUCUCAGUGGGGCUGCAAUACAAGGCAACUUUGAGGAGCGGAAUCCAACAAUCCUGUUGCCUAACCAGUCGGAUGACAUCUCCCACUUGGCCCUUGACAUCGGAGGGUCUCUGAUUAAGUUGGUUUACUUCUCGAGACAUGAAGAGCAGUCACCUGAUGAUAAGAGGAAAAGAUCCAUAAAAAAGAGGUUUGGAAUCUCUAAUGGUAGCAGGAGGAGCUAUCCAAUUUUGGGUGGGAGGCUCCAUUUUGUAAAAUUUGAAACGGGGAAGUUGAAUGAAUGUCUGGAUUUCAUUUCAGCCAAGCAGCUUCAUCGUGGAGGACUUGAUUCACCAUCAUGGCAUUCUGGGACUAGACCUGAGGAUAACACAAUAAUAAUCAAGGCAACGGGUGGUGGGGCAUACAAAUUUGCAGAUGUGUUUAAAGAGAGACUUGGAGUUAGUCUUGAUAAGGAAGAUGAAAUGGAUUGUCUUGUAGCUGGUGCUAAUUUUUUGCUUAAGGCAAUCCGCCAUGAAGCUUUUACACACAUGGAGGGCCAGAAAGAGUUCGUGCAGAUUGAUCAUAACGAUCUGUUCCCCUAUCUUCUUGUUAAUGUUGGUUCUGGAGUUAGUAUUAUUAAGGUGGAUGGGGAUGGAAAAUUUCAACGGGUUAGUGGGACUAAUGUUGGUGGUGGUACUUAUUGGGGAUUAGGGAGGUUGUUGACAAAGUGCAACAGCUUUGAUGAGUUGUUAGAGUUGAGCCAGCAGGGAGACAAUAGCAAUGUUGACAUGCUUGUUGGAGAUAUAUAUGGUGGUAUGGACUAUUCCAAGAUUGGACUCUCGGCAUCAACUAUUGCCUCCAGUUUUGGAAAGACAAUUUCAGAAAGCAAGGAACUGUCAGACUACAGACCAGAAGAUAUCUCUCUCUCCCUCCUGCGAAUGAUUUCAUAUAAUAUUGGACAGAUCUCCUACCUGAAUGCGCUUCGGUAUGGGCUCAAAAGGAUUUUCUUUGGAGGAUUUUUCAUUCGUGGUCAUGCUUAUACCAUGGACACUAUUUCUUUUGCAGUGCAUUUCUGGUCCAAGGGGCAGGCACAAGCCAUGUUUUUGCGCCAUGAGGGCUUUCUCGGAGCUCUUGGUGCAUUCAUGAGCUAUGAAAAGCAUGGCCUUGAUGUCUUGAGGGCACAUCAGUUGGUGGAACGGUUCCCUAUGGGAGCUCCUUGUGUUGGGGGAAAGAUUCAUGGUCCUCCUCUAGGUGAUCUGAAUGAGAAGAUAUCUUGGAUGGAGAAGUUUGUGCAGAAGGGUACUGAGAUUACAGCUCCUGUCCCAAUGGCUCCACCUGGAACUACUGGUGUGGGAGGUUUCGAGCGACCUUCUUCCAGGGGCAACGCCUUGAGAUCAGAUGCAAGUGCUGCAUUAAAUAUCGGUGUUCUCCAUCUUGUACCCACGCUGGAGGUGUUUCCUUUAUUGGCAGAUCCUAAGAUAUAUGAACCAAACACUAUUGAUCUCUCAGAUCAUAGUGAGCUUGAGUUUUGGUUUAUGGUGUUAUCAGAGCAUUUGCCUGACCUUGUUGCUAAGGCUGUAGCAAGUGAAGGAGGAACGGAUGAUGCUAAAAGGAGGGGAGAUGCAUUUGCACGGGCCUUCUCAGCUCACUUGGCAAGGUUGAUGGAAGAGCCUGCUGCUUAUGGGAAGUUAGGCCUGGCCAAUCUUUUGGAGCUAAGGGAAGAAUGCUUGCGGGAGUUUCAGUUUGUUGAUGCCUAUAUUACUAUCAAACAGAGGGAAAAUGAGGCUUCUCUUGCUGUUCUACCAGAUCUUCUUAUUGAGCUUGAUAGUAUGAAUGAGGAAGAAAGACUGCUUGCUCUCAUCGAAGGUGUUCUUGCUGCAAAUAUAUUUGAUUGGGGAUCUCGUGCUUGUGUUGACCUUUACCACAAAGGAACUAUAAUUGAAAUUUAUCGGAUGAGCCGCAAAAAGAUGCAACGACCCUGGCGGGCAAGUUCUUAUAGAAACAAAGAUCUCCUGUCAAAAGAUAAAGUGGAUGACUUCGAUAUGUUUAAAAAAAGAAUGCUUGGUUGUGGAGCCAAGAAACCCCCACCACAUAGAAGAGCAUUGCUCUUUGUGGAUAACUCAGGUGCUGAUGUUGUUCUUGGGAUGCUUCCGUUAGCUCGAGAGCUCCUUCGGCGAGGAACUGAGGUUGUUCUGGUUGCAAAUUCCUUACCGGCUUUAAAUGAUGUUACUGCCAAUGAGCUUCCUGAAAUUGUAGCCGAAGCUGCUAAGCAUUGUGAUAUCCUUCGUAAAGCUGCUGAAGCUGGAGGGCUGCUCGUGGAUGCAAUGGUUAGUGUAGAACAUGGACUGGUAGAUAAUUCAGCUUCUGUUCCCCUUAUGGUUGUUGAGAAUGGGUGUGGGGGCCCAUGCAUAGAUUUCCGGCAGGUCAGCUCAGAGCUUGCUGCUGCUGCAAGAGAUGCAGAUUUGAUAAUUUUGGAAGGCAUGGGCCGAGCUCUACAUACCAACUUCAAUGCCCGUUUUAGGUGCGAUGCUCUAAAGCUUGCAAUGGUGAAGAAUCAGAGAUUGGCUGAAAAGCUGUUCAAUGGAAAUAUAUAUGACUGUGUCUGUCGGUUUGAGCCUACUGGAGAACAGCAGCAACACAACUUCAGCUGAUCCUAUAACCCUUGAAACUUAUUGUCUGAAGGUAGACACAAUAGGAGCAUGAGUCUUCAAAAGUUUUCUCACAACUUCCGUCCAGGUUUUUUGGUGAUCUCUGGUACCAAGGAAUGUGGGAUUUUCAUGGCACCUGGCCUACCAUCUGAACUUCAAUUCUGAAUAAGCUAUCUGCAUCACAGAGGUUGCUGCUGGAACAGGUUUUCGAAGCUAGCAGUUCAUAUACGAUGAAACAGCUAUCCAGUUUUGAAGCGCCAAUUUUUAUGUCUUACAGAUUCGGUUAUAGAAAAACAAAAAGUGGCCUGUAUUUUUUAAGAUACAGAUUUGCAGAAAGAUCUGGGUCAUGUACCUGGUCCAGUAAUAAUUUAUAAUUUUGUUUUCACAUAGAAGUUAUCGGUUAUAAUGUCAUCCAAUGAAUUGUUUUUUAGCUUAAUAGUUAUGGCCGAGACUUUUGCCAACAGAUAAGCCUGAAGUUUUAAAAAUACAAAGAUAUGAUUUGGAU